rnacentral:lncRNA from 1 species
AAAAGCCUCAUUCAAUAUCCUAUUUUAACAACUCUGAAAAUUGAAAAGGACUUUUGUCAUUGUCAUUGUUGUUGUUGAUUUUAGCUUUUUAAGAACUUCUUUAGUACUCAGAAUACAGAGUUCUGCUAUCCACCACGGAGUAGGGAAAAGGAAAUGCUGACCUAAGAGCUGUCUACCAGCUGCACAUGGAAACAAGAAGAUAAAGUUCUGUAUUGGACACGGGUGAUGGGGAAAGCUUAGGGAUGAGAUGGUAUAGCUCGGGGCUAUCACAAACCACAUAGGGAAUACCCGUGCUGGAAGAAGCCAGAGGGUGGAGGAGCAACAGCUACAAGGAGACAGAGAAAAAGCACUUUGGAGACUCCUGCAGCCCAACUGUCACAGAGGAGAUUCCAAAAGCAUCUGGAAGUGCUAGCAGAUGUGAAGAGCCUUCCAGGUUGGGACAAGGAGGAGAAAGAGUGUGUUACAACUAGAGGCCAUGGUGAAUCAGCAAGCAGAUGAUACAGACCCAGUAGGAACAGGGUUGUGACUGAGACCUGGCAGAAUGAGAUACACCUUAGUGGUGCCCCGUAAGAACACGUAAUGGGCUAGGACUCAGGCCCACCUCCUUGCACAACCCGCCUCCACUCCAGCCAGGAGCCACCAUAGACUUCUGCACCUUGAUGCUGCCCCAGAGGAAGAGAAGGAUCCCAGCCUAGAGAGAUGUCUUCUAUUCUGAAAGCUGCAAGGACUCUCGGCUUUUGAACUCACUUUCUAAAGGGGUUCCUGCAUACUUCUUUUUCUCCAACUCCUCAAACAUUAAAAAAGUUAAAAAGCAGUGUUAAGAAGAAGGCUUCCAUUAUUUAGCAGCUGCCAGAGAGGAAGCUCCAAAAAGCAACAGCCCGCCGCCACUGACUCCUCCGACUGGGAAUGAUGUCCUGAAAUGACCCAUCACCUUUGACACGUGCCCAGGACCUUGCUGAGGGGACCCAGCAACUGCCAAUGCCUCAGAAACCAUGAAGACAGACCGUGGCUUUAUGACAGGUUAAAUCUUGCUAAGUGGCAGCCUUUCAGACAAACACGUACCUCCUGAACCUCGCUAUUUCCACUGAGUUCUUCAACAGUAUGCCUUAUUGCUGCC